UGAGGAAUAUUGGUCAAUGGGCGAGAGCCUGAACCAGCCAAGUAGCGUGCAGGAUGACGGCCCUAUGGGUUGUAAACUGCUUUUAUGUGGGGAUAAAGUGCGUGACGUGUCAUGCAUUGCAGGUACCCCAUGAAUAAGGACCGGCUAAUUCCGUGCCAGCAGCCGCGGUAAUACGGAAGGUCCGGGCGUUAUCCGGAUUUAUUGGGUUUAAAGGGAGCGUAGGCUGUCUAUUAAGCGUGUUGUGAAAUUUACCGGCUCAACCGGUGGCUUGCAGCGCGAACUGGUCGACUUGAGUAUGCAGGAAGUAGGCGGAAUUCAUGGUGUAGCGGUGAAAUGCUUAGAUAUCAUGACGAACUCCGAUUGCGCAGGCAGCUUACUGUAGCAUAACUGACGCUGAUGCUCGAAAGUGCGGGUAUCAAACAGG
rnacentral:rRNA from 1 species